rnacentral:rRNA from 1 species
GGUAUUCCCCCAGUUAACGGCGAGCGAACGGGGAAGAGUCCAGCGCCGAAGUUCGUUCCCCCAGCGGGUCCGAACAAUGUGGCGUUUGGGAGGGAGCGCACUCGAGACGGUCGGAGCAGCAAGUCCCCCUGACCGGGGCUCUUACCCAGAGCGGGUGCGAGGCCCGUAGUUGCUCCGUCCCCUCGGGACGCGACCUCCUCGGAGUCGGGUUGCUUGGGAGUGCAGCCCCAAGUGGGUGGUAAACUCCACCUAAGGCUAAAUACGGCCGCGAGACCGAUAGCAAACAAGUACCGUGAGGGAAAGUUGCAAAGAACUUUGAAGAGAGAGUUCAAGAGUACGUGAAACUGCUCAGAGGCAAACGGGUGGGCCCUCGAAAUCCUCUUGCGGAGGGAUUCAGUCGGGCGCCGCACGAGGUGCGCCGGCUCCGGACCUGAARAAAGGCCGAGACCGGCGAGAUCGGGCGCGCUCGACGCACUUCCCCCCGCACUCUGGACGCCGCAUCGAAUCUGGUAGCUGCGAGAGUCGGCCUUGAGACGGUCCCAGGAGGUGACCGGGGAAUCGGCUCCGGCCCCUUCCCCCGGUUUUUGACGGGACCGCCGCGUGGCGCGACACCAGAUCGUCGUCCGGUAGUCGCCCCCUCGCGGGGCGACCUCCUCUCCUGCGCUGCGUCGCGGUGCUCGGGCCAGUGAGCGCCGGCGAGGCCGAACCACUCCCCGUAGUGGCCGGUCCGACGGACGCCGUGGUUGGGCUCGAGCGGGCCGCGGAGGGAGAGGCACUUGCGGCGAGUAGGUCGGUCACCCACCCGUCCCGUCUUGAAACACGGACCAAGGAGUCUAACAUGUGCGCGAGUCGCAGGGUCUUGGACAGGCCCUCGGGCGCAAUGAAAGUGAACGCGUUGGGACUCCACCCCCGCYCGGGGGGGGAAGCACCAACGGCCCGUUCCGUCCGACCAGUCGGUGGAGCGGAGUCGGAGCGCACACGUUGGCACCCGAAAGAUGGUGAACUAUGCCUGGGCAGAACGAAGCCAGAGGAAACUCUGGUGGAGGUUCGUAGCGGUUCUGACGUGCAAAUCGAUCGUCAGACCCGGGUAUAGGGGCGAAAGACCAAUCGAACCAUACUAGUAGC